rnacentral:rRNA from 1 species
UACGAAGGGGGCUAGCGUUGCUCGGAAUCACUGGGCGUAAAGGGCGCGUAGGCGGCCUUCUAAGUCGAACGUGAAAUCCCUGGGCUCAACCCAGGAACUGCGUCCGAUACUGGGAGGCUUGAAUCCGGGAGAGGGAUGCGGAAUUCCAGGUGUAGCGGUGAAAUGCGUAGAUAUCUGGAGGAACACCGGUGGCGAAGGCGGCAUCCUGGACCGGUAUUGACGCUGAGGCGCGAAAGCCAGGGGAGCAAACGGG